GGGAAAUGAAAGAAGGUGGAGGAGGCUGAGAUUUAUAUAUCUGAUUGUAUGCAAGAUCAUCGUCAAACUCAUUUGCAUCAUUUGCAGCAGGAACUGAUGCAGUUGAGACAGGUUGGGAAGUAAGCUGUGGUUCAGGAAGGACAGUAUAUUGUUGCUGAGUCUGAGAAGGCGCACUAAUGGGUAGUGAUGCUGUUGGGACAGUCGUGUACACUUUUGGACCUGACUCAGGCACUGAUUGAGCCGCCCUGACCUCCUUAUAAGCUACUGA
rnacentral:misc_RNA from 1 species